ACCUGCUCCACCUAUCUUCGAUAUCUGCAACGAUCGACAAACUGAAAUGCAUCGGAGAGAUGAUCAAUCUCCACAAGGUGAUCGAUGUUUCUGUAUCUGCAGUUGCUGAUUUUGCAAAAUUAAAAUUCUUGAUCCAUCAAAAAUAUUUUUCAGGAGAAACGGCACGGAUUCUGGUGGAAUUCUUGGAGGUCGCCAUUAAUUCGAUUGUUUUCCUCAAAGGAGUGUACCCAACAGGUGCAUUUGAAAGGAGGAGGUAUAUGAAUGUGGUAGUUCAGAGGGCUAGACACCCUCAGCUUAGAGAGUAUAUCCACUCUGCUGUUACUGGACUUCUUCCCUUUAUUCAGAAGGGAUUGGUGGAAAGAGUAGCAGUGAUCUUUUUCAAUACUGACAACAUGCCAGUGGAGAGCUUUAUUUUCAAGCUCAUGGUUAGCCUAUCUUAUGGCGCUAAGGUAGAAGAAGGUGACUUGGAGUUCUCCCUCAGAUCAUUCUUGAUCAAGCUCUCAGUCUCUGAGCCUGUUACCAAGGUUCUUCCGCAUGAUUUCAGGUGGGAGAUAACUGCUUACUUUCGUUCCCUACCCAAAGUUGAUACAAGCACAGAUGCAGAAUUGUGGAUUCCAACAGACACAAAGCAGUGGCAACAACCUCCACAAAUUACCCCAAUUAAGUCGAUGAGUAGUGAACCUCUAAGCAUGCAGCUAUAUUUAGAACAUCCAAGCAUAUCUGAACCACAGCCUUGAAUGGAUUAACAUAACAAUUGUACAACUUCGUAGCAAAUAACCUGUGGUUGACCUUGAAUACAACAGAUCCACGCUUGCAUCAACUGCCAUUAGUCGAGAAGAGCUUUGCAUUCGCAGGUUAAUCUUCAGAAAUGUGGAAAGGAUGCCUCAAGCGUUGAAAUCUGAAUCUUGAUCUAACUAGCAUUUUGUAGGAGGAGCAGAUGCCACAAUGUAAAGGAACAUGAUUACUCCUCUCUAAACAAUAUAAGGUCUCUCUCCAAGUCCGAUUGUCUACACUACACAAUCCCAUUAGUUUCUCUAGACGAGCAAUUUAAAUACUUUAGGUUAUGUUUGGUUUAUUUUAUUGUCUACACUACACAAUCCCAUUAGUUUCUCUAGACAAAUUAGCUUUACUUAUUUCGACACCGCAAUUAGUUUUUCCGGUACCUGAGUGACCUUUGUUUUAAAGUUUUAAGUUAUUGUUCUUUGAGUGA